rnacentral:lncRNA from 1 species
CACAGCUUCAGAUGACCCCCAAACCAACUCCUACCUCAUUCACACUCUAUUCAAGUUCUCCUCCUAAUUGUCUUUUUUUUUUUUUUUUCAGAAUCAUCCAUUUAUUUCAAUGUAGGGCCAAUGCAGCAUGUGGGGAAGCAAGGAGAGGAAGUUAGAGGUUCAGAGGGCCAGCAAGUAGGAGAUCAGAGUUUUCCAAUGAAGAUUUUACUCUGAGCUGGAAAUGAGUUGCCCUUUGGGUUCCAGUACAAUCUGUGCCAUUUAUCUGCCAGUCUCUCAAAGGUAAACUAGAACAUCUCCCUGCAGGUAGUCACCCUGACAGUGAAAUGGGCAACUUCUAUACUUGUCUCAUUUCGUCUUCACAGCCAAGUUGUGAGGUAGGCAUCUGUAUAGCUCAGGGACACCUAAGUAAAGUGGUUUGGCCAAAGUAAGAGUUUUAUUUCCCUCAUGUGACACAAAGUCCAGACAAGGCUGGUACAGCUGCUUGAGGAGUUAAUUAUCAGGAAUUCAAGAACCUGCUCCACUACCGUUCCUGAGCAUGUGCCUUCCAACUUCAUUGUCACAAGAUGGCUGCCCCUCCUUCAAGAAUAGCAUUUAUGUCCCAGGCAAGAAGAAAGGGAAGGGCGGAGAGUAAAAGGCAUGUGCCAGCUGAAUCUGGCCCAUUUAUAAGGAAAGCAAUAGCUCUUCUUGAAGCCACCCCAGCAGGCUUCUGGCCACCUCUCAUUAGUAGGAACUAGCAAUAUGGUCACCCCUGGGUGAAGGGAGCCUGGGCAGGGGAGCACUUAAUUUGGGACAUUGUCUCUCCAAAUAAGACUAGGCUUCCAUUGGUAAGAAUGGAGAGGUUGUGGAAGUAGACAAGGAGCAGUGUCUGCCUCACUACUAUUAUUCCUGUUUUACUGAUGAGGAAACAGCUUUGGAGAAGCUACAAGAUCUACUCAAGGCCAUGCACCUGGGCAGUGAAAGAGCCAGACCUUGCCUCCAGGUCCUCCAUCUGUGCAGAUGCCUGUGUGAGGUGGUACAAUGAGCAGGAGCACAGAAGAACCAGCUAUACUGAACUGGCCUCAGAGCCAUCUAGAAAACUGUGUGCACUUUCAGCAGAAAAGCCGACUCCCUCCAGGCCUUGUGUCCAAGAUCCCAGUCACUCUGAAGAAUGAUGAUGUCACUCCAUGGUCAAUGACAGCAAGGGAAGCAGCUUUUUCAGGGCUGGUAUCAAUGCCUUAGCCUCAAGCCUCUUGAGCAUCAGAGAAUCUGUACUGAACAGCACAGAACAAAAUAUAGGAUAGGUGUUUCUAUGUUCAAGUAAUUUCCUGAUUCCAGAAUCUGCACUGGAGCCCCAGUAGCUCUUUUCUGCAGUUCCAGACCUGGUCUACGAUGCUCAGCAUCUUCCUAGCACAGCAGCAGUUCAUGGGUUCCAGCCCAAAGGCACAAGUAGUUUCUGAUCUCAGGGUAUCACUUUCUUUCCCUAUUGUUUUUCCAGUCCUUCCAAUGCCCUGUAACCAAUUUUCUUUAAAUAAAAAAAAAGACUAGUUAACA